ensembl:lncRNA
UUUGAUUAUAUAUGACACUUUGAAAUUUAGAAAUGACACUUUGCUACAAUGUAAAGUAGUGAGUGUACAGCUUGUGUAACAGUGCAAAUUUGCUGUCCCCUCAAAAUAACUCAACACACAGCCAUUAAUGCCUAAACCGCUGGCAACAAAAGUGAGUACAGAACACAAAUAUAUGUGUGUGUGUAAUGUACAUAUAGUACUGUGUAUAUAUGUGUGUGUGUGUGUGUGUAGUGUACAUAUAAUACUGUAUAUGUGUGUGUGUAGUGUACAUAUAAUACUGUGUAUAUGUGUGUGUGUGUGUAGUGUACAUAUAAUACUGUAUAUGUGUGUGUGUAGUGUACGUAUAAUACUGUAUGUGUGUGUGUAGUGUACAUAUAAUACUGUAUAUGUGUGUGUGUGUAUAGUGUACAUAUAAUACAGUAUAUGUGUGUAGUGUACAUAUAAUACUGUAUAUGGUGUGUGUAGUGUACAUAUAAUACUGUAUAUAUGUGUGCGUGUGUGUAGUGUACAUAUAAUACUGUAUAUGUGUAGUGUACAUAUAAUAAUGUAUAUGUGUGUGUAGUGUACAUAUAAUAAUGUAUAUGUGUGUGUAGUGUACAUAUAAUACUGUAUAUGUGUGUGUGGUGUACAUAUAAUAAUGUAUAUGUGUGUGUAGUGUACAUAUAAUACUGUAUAUGUGUGCGUGUGUAGUGUAUGUAUAAUACUGUAUAUGUGUGUGUGUGUGUGUAGUGUACAUAUAAUACAGUAUAUGUGUGUAGUGUACAUAUAAUACUGUAUAUGUGUGUGUGUAGUGUACAUAUAAUACUGUAUAUGUGUGCGUGUGUGUAGUGUACAUAUAAUACUGUAUAUAUGUGUAGUGUACAUAUAAUAAUGUAUAUGUGUGUGUAGUGUACAUAUAAUACUGUAUAUGUGUGUGUGGUGUACAUAUAAUAAUGUAUGUGUGUAGUGUACAUAUAAUAAUGUAUAUGUGUGUGUAGUGUACACAUAAUACUGUAUAUGUUUGUGUGUAGUGUACAUAUAAUACUGUAUAUGUGUGUGUGUGUAGUGUACAAAUAAUACUGUGUAUGUGUGUGUGUAGUGUACGUAUAAUACUGUAUAUGUGUGUGUGUAGUGUACAUAUAAUACUGUAUAUGUGUGUGUGUAGUGUACAUAUACUACUGUAUAUAUGUGUGUGUUUGUGUAGUGUACGUAUAAUAUUGUAUGUAUGUGUAGUGUACGUAUAAUACUGUAUGUGUGUGUGUGUGUAGUGUACAUAUAAUACUGUAUAUGUAUGUGUGUACACUACACACACACACACACACACAGAUAGAUAGAUAGAUAGAUAGAUAGAUAGAUAGAUAGAUAGAUAGAUAGACUCGGGAUAUUUAUUUAUUUAUAUUUUCUCCCAAAUGCAGCUGAGCAACUUCCUGUUCCACCCAGCAGAUGGCGCUGUCGGUCAGUUUCUCUCCACAGUGUUUUCCUGGAGCUCCAGUCUCAGCUCCACUCCCUGAUGACGGCUGGAAUAAAUGUGGGGUUCUGUGCUAAAGCUUUAUCCCUACAACACUUUUACACUGUAGAGAACCUGCACUACAAUCUGUACACAUACUCACACGUGUGUACUGAGGAAACACAUCAAACCAAAGCAAUUUGUCUUUAAAGAAGAAGCGCUGUAGUGAAAGAAUGUGAAAUGUAACUGUAAACAGAUCAAAGCACCGCGGUGAUGAAUACAGUGUACAAUAGUGUGUGCAGUAGAAGAGGAAGAACAGAGGAAAUGAUGUGAGAGGAAAAGAAGGCGCUAGAAGGCGCUAUAACGGGCCUCCGCGACCCCACCCAGCCUGGAGGAUUCACUUCACACACACUUCACACACACUUCACUGCGUUCAUCUGCACUCUGUCCUCUGGAACUUGCAACAUUCAAUUCUGUUCACAAUAAACUCACCUCGAGAUCUUCUUCACUCCGCUUUCUUCUCUCUUUCUAACGGCGCACUUCUGACUUUCGAUUUCUGACUUUCGAGGGUUGGCCUCGCAGCUUACUAUGACAUCACCGCUGCAUCACUCUCCACAGCCACAGGCGGCGCUAAAGCGCUGAAACGUUCCUCGUACAGUUCUGCUCUUUCUGACUAAUAAUAACAACAAUAACAAUAAUAACAAUCAGUAAUAAUAGUAAGAAUCAUCAUCAUCAUCAUCAUCUGGUUCUCUCUCAUCUUCAUUAUCAUCUGUUACUGUGAUCACUAACACAACGCUUUAUUCAUCUUUACACCAGCUGUGGAAAAUUAUUUAUACACCAAUACACUUACUUACUUAAUUUUUUUAUAUUUAGUCUUUUUUUAAUACACUUUUAUAUCUACACACAGGGGCACCAAAAGUAUUGGGACACUUAGCCACUUUGACACGUCUGAAUUUCACUGCAUUAGAAAGCAACACGUCAAACCAAGCUGCAUUUAUAUGAAUGAAAGAAGCCCCAAGGAGACUUUUCAAGCACGACAUUUCACAAAAAACAGACUGUAUAAUUUUUUUUUUAAAUAAUAGAUAUACUGGUCAAAAAAUUUAGACAAAAAGUAUUUGGACACUCAGUAGUGGCUUGAUUAAAGAGCACAGUUCCAGUGUGUAGUAUUUAGUUUGCUAUGGUUUAUUUGUGCAAUGGUGAGGGAUCUACUCAGGUCCACCUAAAGUCAACAAUCAUCUCUUUAUUCUUAUCCACAAUAAGAGAUAGAUUAAUGUCUCUACACCAUUCUGCGAGCUGCUCCACCUCCUCCCUGUACACUGACCCAUCAUUGUUACUGAUGAGGCCCACGAAUGUAGUGACAUCAGCAAACUUGAUGAUGUGAUUAGAACUGAACUUUGCAGCACAGUCAUGAGUCAGCAGGGAGAACAGCAGUGGACUGAGUACACAGCCCUGUGGGGUGCUGGUGUUCAGUGUGGUGGUGCUGGCGGUGGAGCUGCUGAUCCUGAUGGACUGGGGUCUCCAGGAUCCAGUUGCAGGGGGAGGCCCCAGCCUCCCAGACCCAGCAGCUCAGCUUUGUUAUCAGUUUCUGAUGGAUGAUGAUGUGAAUAGGUGUUAACAAUUUCCUGCAACCCAGUGUGAGAGCUGAAUGCAAUCACACACACACACAUACACACACACACACAGUUUAUUAGUACAGAAAAAGAAUGAUGCAAAUUAAAUCAGAAAUAUAUUACAAUACAGAUCACUUUUAGGCUCUGCCUUCAUAGUUUAGGCCAUGCCCCCAGAUGGAGGUGUGGCUGUGUUUAGGUUAGAAUAUGAAUCACACACACUGGGAUAAACGGAGUACGUUUAAAACAAUUCCCCAUUUUUAUUUCAUUUUUGCGUCCUUAUUUUGUUGAUCUCUUAUUUUUCUAGUGUGAAUCACACAUGGUCCCACUUUCUUCCACCCCCACCACCCGCCGAAUUCAUUAACAACCACACCCCCACAACAGCCCCACCCCUUCCCAUAACCGCCAGUACAGAUGGAGCUAGAUUUUUCAGCAUUGAGAAAUUUCCAGUUUAUUUAAGUACAGUUUGCAGUGUCCAAAUAAAAAUAAUCAGAGUUUAGUUACAUUACAGAUCUGUAUUAACACAUUAAACACAUUUCUGUGUUUUAAACCACACUGUAAUAUCUGUAAUAAACUCACCAGGAGAAGCUCUUCUUAGAGUCUUAUUCUUCCAUAAAAACCUGAGGAGCAUUUGGUGUGUGGUCUUACUUACAGAAGCAUCAGUGUACAAGGAGGAGCUUUGUAUGUUAUUCUUCUCCCUUUUAAAUUUUGGUCUCUCAAGAGCCACAGACUGAAUGGUUUCCGUGUCCAUGACCGGUAGAGAGACAGAUGGUUUGUAUGUUUCAUUAAACCUGAUCUUGACAGUUCUAGGUCAAAGGUUAUCAUAAAUCAAUAUUAUGUUGACAUGUCUAGGUCAAAAGGUCAUCACCAAUCAUCCUUAUCUUCACAGAAGUAGGUCAAAGAUAAAUAAUGUUACGUGUUCUUUCAUAUAGAGCAAUCAAAUAACCUUUGAAGGUUAUAGAUAAAUAAUAUUAGGUUAUCUUUGUUGUAAUCUGUUAUGUUCCCACACAUCUGAUAAAUAUUUAGGUCAUUAGGCCAAGGUUCUUGAUGUGUAAGAGAUACGAGAAUAUAAGAGAAACGUAAUGAAAAAAAAAUGGCACAAAUUGUCUAAGAAAUAAUGGACACAUUGUUCAUAAGCACCAUUGCAUAUUGUAUAUACAGUGAGGGCAUUGAAAAUGGGUCGUGGAUGGGUAUUCCAGCAUGACAAUGACCCAAAACACACGGCCAAGGCAACAAAGGAGUGGCUCAAGAAGAAGCACAUUAAGGUCCUGGAGUGACCUAGGCAGUCUCCAGACCUAAAUCCCAUAGAAAAUCUGUGGAGGGAGCUGAAGGUUCGAGUUGCCAAACGUCAGCCUCGAAACCUUAAUGACUUGGAGAAGAUCUGCAAAGAGGAG